UACGGAGGAUCCAAGCGUUAUCCGGAUUUAUUGGGUUUAAAGGGUGCGUAGGCGGAAUGAUAAGUCAGUGGUGAAAGCCUGCAGCUUAAACUGCAGAACUGCCAUUGAUACUGUCAAUCUUGAGUACAUUUGAUGUGGGCGGAAUGUGUCAUGUAGCGGUGAAAUGCUUAGAUAUGACACAGAACACCGAUUGCGAAGGCAGCUCACAAACUGUAA
rnacentral:rRNA from 1 species